rnacentral:lncRNA from 1 species
GCCAUGUGAACAAGAAAGAACAAAUAAAAGAGUUCUAAUGUUUAAAAAAUCAAUAACUAAAUUUAAAAUAUUAAUAAAUUAUGCAUAAGUGCCCAAUGUUUUGUUUUUGUUAAUGCCUUUUUCUUCCUCUUAUGUCAACCUUUCUUGAGAAUGGAGCGGGGGAAGGGAGAAGGUCGGGUCAGCACCAAUGCUCCUAUUGGAUCUCUGGCUUGUGAGAGAACUCGUUCAAUUUCAAACAAAAUUAAAAGUUGGAUCAAGCUGAAAAUGGCAAGCCAGCAUGGGCUGGGCCCUGGCAACUUGCUUUUUCUUGCCCUAUUCAUAGUUUGCGUAAUCGUGCCACUAUUGGAGAUGAGAUCAGCCCAAUAGACUUGGUUUGUUUGAUGAAUUUGGACUUGUUCUGGACCUCUAAUCAAGCCAUUGUGCUUCAAAGGGGGUACUUGCUCGGAUGAGUGCUUUUCUAUGCCUCAAUUAGGAGGACUUCAACAUUCUUUCAAUCGUGCAUCUAUGGCUUGGAAAGUACGAACGGUA